rnacentral:rRNA from 1 species
UACGUAGGGUGCAAGCGUUGUCCGGACUUAUUGGGCGUAACGAGCUCGUAGGCGGUCUGUCGCGUCGGCUGUGAAAACCCGGGGCUCAACCCCGGGCCUGCAGUCGAUACGGGCAGACUAGAGUGCGGUAGGGGAGACUGGAAUUCCUGGUGUAGCGGUGAAAUGCGUAGAUAUCUGGAGGAACACCGGUGGCGAAGGCGGCAUCCUGGACCGGCAUUGACGCUGAGGCGCGAAAGCCAGGGGAGCAAACGGG